rnacentral:misc_RNA from 1 species
GAUGAAGAACGCAGCGAAAUGCGAUACGUAAUGUGAAUUGCAGAUUUCAGUGAAUCAUCGAAUCUUUGAACGCACAUUGCGCCCGCUAGUAUUCUGGCGGGCAUGCCUGUUCGAGCGUCAUUUCAACCAUCAAGCCCUAGGCUUGCGUUGGAGCCCUGCGGCUGCCGCAGGCUCCCAAAUCCAGUGGCGGGCUCGUCGUCGUACCGAGUGCAGUAAACAUCCUCGCUCAGGGAACGUGACGGGUUCUCGCCGUGAAACCCCCCACAUAUCAAGGUUGACCUCGGAUCAGGUAGGAAUACCCGCUGAACUUAAGCAUAUCAAUAAGCGGAGGA